rnacentral:misc_RNA from 1 species
UCCGAGUUGACCCCGGCAGUCUCCCAUGAGUCCCCGCCACCACGCGCUGGCAACAUGGAACAAGGGUUGCGCUCGUUGCGGGACUUAACCCAACAUCUCACGACACGAGCUGACGACAACCAUGCACCACCUGUAAACGGCCCUUACGGACCCCACAUCUCUGCGGGAUUACCGCCUAUGUCAAGCCUUGGUAAGGUUCUUCGCGUUGCGUCGAAUUAAGCCACAUGCUCCGCCGCUUGUGCGGGCCCCCGUCAAUUCCUUUGAGUUUUAGCCUUGCGGCCGUACUCCCCAGGCGGGGCGCUUAAUGCGUUAGCUGCGGCACGGAUCCCAACGAAGGGAACCCACACCUAGCGCCCAACGUUUACGGCGUGGACUAC